CCUACGGGAGGCUGCAGUGAGGAAUAUUGGUCAAUGGGCGAGAGCCUGAACCAGCCAAGUCGCGUGAGGGAGUACUGCCCUAUGGGUUGUAAACCUCUUUUGUCGGGGAGCAAAAGCCGGACGUGUCCGGCUGUGAGGGUACCCGAAGAAAAAGCAUCGGCUAACUCCGUGCCAGCAGCCGCGGUAAUACGGAGGAUGCGAGCGUUAUCCGGAUUUAUUGGGUUUAAAGGGUGCGCAGGCGGAUUUUUAAGUCAGCGGUAAAAUCGUGGGGCUCAACCCCAUCCAGCCGUUGAAACUGGGGAUCUAGAGUGUGCGAGAGGUAUGCGGAAUGCGUGGUGUAGCGGUGAAAUGCAUAGAUAUCACGCAGAACCCCGAUUGCGAAGGCAGCAUACCGGUGCACAACUGACGCUCAGGCACGAAAGCGUGGGUAUCGAACAGGAUUAGAUACCCUAGUAGUC
rnacentral:rRNA from 1 species